CACUGUGCCAACCAAGAAGACCGACGCAAGCAUGACUGAACCAGCCAAAAUAUUGAGGGAAAUGUUGAACGCGUACGAAGAGCAGAUACAGCGUGAUGGGGCAUGCCUCACCCAAUUUCAAGAGACGCUAGACAGCUGUGUUUAUCAAGAAGCCGAAACCUUCUUGUGGACUGGGAUAAAUUACGUGGAAGAAAAGAGGAAUGCGGCGUCAAAGAUAGUGUCAGAAAUCAACGGAGCUCUUCAACGCAUCGCAGAGAUCGACGAGCAUCGAGAGAUAGAUAAUCGAAAAGACGAUGACAGCAGUCUGCCAGACACUCAGUUGCAUGAAUAAAUAGUUUAAUGGAA